AGAAUCAACGCUGGCGGCGUGCCUAACACAUGCAAGUCGAACGGGAAAGUGGAGCAAUCCAUGAGUAUAGUGGCGACCGGGUGAGUAACACGUGACUAACCUACCCUUGAGUGGGGGAUAACUGAGGGAAACCUUAGCUAAUACCGCAUAAUACCCACGGGUCAAAGGAGCAAUUCGCUCGAGGAGGGGGUCGCGGCCGAUUAGUUAGUUGGCAGGGUAAUGGCCUACCAAGACGAUGAUCGGUAUCCGGCCUGAGAGGGCGCACGGACACACUGGAACUGAAACACGGUCCAGACUCCUACGGGAGGCAGCAGUGGGAAUUUGCGCAAUGGGGGAAACCCUGACGCAGCAACGCCGCGUGGAGGAUGAAGUCCUUCGGGACGUAAACUCCUUUCGAUCGGGACGAUUAUGACGGUACCGGAAGAAGAAGCCCGGCUAACUUCGCGCCAGCAGCCGC
rnacentral:rRNA from 1 species